rnacentral:rRNA from 1 species
AGCGAACGCUGGCGGCAGGCUUAACACAUGCAAGUCGAACGGGCAGCUUCGGAUGUCAGUGGCAGACGGGGGCGGAACACGUGGGAACGUACCCGUCGGUUCGGAAUAACUCAGGGAAACUUGAGCUAAUACCGGAUACGCCCUCUGGGGGGAAGGUUUACUGCCGAAGGAUCGGCCCGCGUCUGAUUAUCUUGUUGGUGGGGGAACGGCCUACCAAGGCGACGAGCAGUAGCUGGGCUGAGCGGAUGAUCAGCCACACUGGGACUGAGACACGGCCCAGACUCCUACGGGGGGACGCAGUGGGGAAUAUUGGACAGUGGGCGCAAGCCUGAUCCCCCCCUGCCGCGUGAGUGCUGAAGGCCUUAGGGUUGUAAAGCUCUUUUGUCCGGGACGAUAAUGACGGUACCGGAAGACUAAGCCCCGGCUAUCUUCGU